GGUGACGGUUGCAGGGGGGCGCGGGCCCCCCGUGUCUAGCUUGUGCCCCUCUUGGGUGAUGUACCUAAAAACCAACAGAGACAAACAGGCUGGUUCCAUGGGAAGAUCUCAGGUCCCGAGGCGGUGUCCAAGCUGCGGCCUGUAGAGGAUGGCCUGUUCCUGGUGCGGGAGUCCAUCCGCCACCCUGGUGAUUAUGUGCUCUGUGUCGGCUACUCCAGCCAGGUCAUCCACUACCGAGUCAUGUACCAGCACAGCAAACUGACCAUCGACAACACCCAGUACUUCUACAACCUCAUAGACAUGAUAGAGGACCUGAGCCCUAGGACCAUGCCCCAGGACUACCUGACAUGAUGACUCCUUGCUGUCCCCAGUCCACCUGGCCAUGCUGCUGCUCCAGUUUCAACUGGCCUGGGCCCUAGGACCAUGUCCCAGGACUACCUGACAUGAUGACUCCUUGCUGUCCCCAGUCCACCUGGCCAUGCUGCUGCUCCAGUUUCAACUGUUCUGCCUUACUAUUAUUCAACCAUGCUGGUCAUUUAUGAACAUUUGAACAUCUUGGCCACGUUCUGUUAUAAUCUCCACCCGGCACAGCCAGAAGAGGACUGGCCACCCCACAUAUGCUCUCUCUAAUUCUCUCUUUCUUUCUCUCUCUCUCGGAGGACCUGAGCCCUAGGACCGUGCCCCAGGACUACCUGACAUGAUGACUCCUUGCUGUCCCCAGUCCACCUGACUGUGCUGCUGCUCCAGUUUCAACUGUUCUGCCUUAUUAUUAUUCGACCAUGCUGGUCAUUUAUGAACAUUUGAACAUCUUGGUCAUGUUCUGUUAUAAUCUCUACCCGGCACAGCCAGAAGAGGACUGGCCACCCCACAUAGCCUGGUUCCUCUCUAGGUUUCUUCCUAGGUUUUGGCCUUUCUAGGGAGUUUUUCCUAGCCACCGUGCUUUUACACCUGCAUUGUUUGCUGUUUGGGGUUUUAGGCUGGGUUUCUGUACAGCACUUUGAGAUAUCAGCUGAUGUACGAAGGGCUAUAUAAAUAAAUUUGAUUUGAUUUGAUUUGAUUUAGGAAUGCAGUGAAGUAAAAGUUGUCAAAAAUAUGAAUAGUAAAGUACAGAUAACCUAAAAAACUACUUAAGUAGUGCUUUAAAUUAUUUUUACUUAAAUACUUUACACAACUGAAAAGAUAGCUACAACAAUCUCCUUGUUCACCUGAGCCUUCCUGACCUCUGCUUCUAAGCAGAGCACUGGGUCCAUAGUUCCCCUACCCUUCCUGAACCCACUCUGACGGGGCAAUACUAACCACUGCUCUCCAGGAAGUAAGUUAGCCUUUCCGAAAUCAAACACUCCAUAAUCUUAUAUACAGUACAUGUGUUGUUAAAGCUAUUGGCCGAUAGCUUGUUGGCCUCAUUGGGUCCUUCCCUGGCUUCCGGAUUGGAACCACUACUGCCUCCUUCCAGCUGCCUGGUAGUUUCCCCUCCUAUCACACUCUGUUGUACAACACAAAUACCUUAUCCGGUGCCUCAUCCCUAAGAUGGGCCAACAUAACAUAGGACACCUCAUCUUUCCCAGGUGAAGUUAACCCAGCCUUACAUAUUGCCCUUUUCAUCUCUGCCAUGGUAAAUGGUGCAUUCAAUGCAUAAUUUACAUCCUCCCUACUAUCCAGCACUCCAGGGUUCUCCUCUCUCGUUCUCUCUCUCUCCCUCCCUCCUCUGACAAAUUUGCCAAGCUGUGCAUUUGGACAAACGCUUUGGCAAUUAUCUCGGCCUUCUCCUCGUCUGUUACUGCCAUAUCAUCUCCACUCGUCAGCAAUGGAUAAUCCCACCACCUUGUGACUCCGCUCAUCCUCUUAAUCAUCUCCCACACAUGUCGCUCUUCCAACAGUGUCACAGAACCGACGCCAAUAUGACCUCUUUGCCUGACAGAUAACUCUCCUCACCAGGGCGUGCUUAUACUGAAUCAGAUGUUGGUAGUUAUGCAUCCUUUUCAGUACUCUAAAUGCCCUGUUUCUACUCCACACCAUUGUUCCACACUUCUCCAUCCACCAUGGGACUGCUUUCCUCCUCCACCUCCCUGAACUCUUAGGUAUAGCCUCAGUAGCUGCCCCCACUAAAGCUGCUCUCACCCAGUUAUUCAUACUAUCCACAUCCCCGCUCUUAUCCACCCAAGUCAUCAGCUGCUCACUCAGCUCCUGAAACGGAUCCCACUUCCAAACAUUCACCUGCCUACUCCAUUCACUAACACCACCUCCCUCCGGCCUACUGCGCAUUCUAUGGGGUAAUGAUCCCUCCCUACUGUUGACUCCUCCCAUACCUCCCACUUACAGAUUCCUGCCAAUCCACUAGAUAACAGUGAGGUCCAUGGCAGACUCUUUCUCUGUGGCUACAUCAAUCCUGGUCCCUCAGCAAUCAUUCAGGCACACCAGAUAUUUCAUUUCUAUCAGAUUUUCCAUCACUUGGCCAUCCAGUAAUACAUGACUUCACCCUCGGCUGAUGAGGUGAUCUCAAACCUCUUCCCAUGUCAACUAUCAUAAACUGAUGUCUCCCAGCCGCUUUCACUAUGAGCGGAAUCCUCUGUUUUAGACACUACUUUAGCAGUGCUAUUGAUAGCUCUUGCUAUGAAUGUCACCAGCUUUCUCUUAUCUUCAUUGCCUCACACCCAUCAUAUGUCACACUAUGAGCACCCCCACAGCUGCAGCACUUUGGUUGUACACCAUCCACACACUUCCCAUACUCAUCCUCCCCUCCACACCUAGUUUUCUCUUUACAUGCUGUUGCCACAUGCCCAAACCUCUGGCAGUUAUAACAUCUUAAAGGCUUCGGGACAUAAACACUCACAUAAUAGCUCAUAUAUCCUAUGGUUACUAUAUUUGGCAGUACCCGGUCCUUGAAGUGUAACAGAAUAGAUUGGCUAUCUACACUAACAUCACCCCUUGUUGCUUUGAACGUUUACAAUGCCUUCUCAAGUUGACGCUUACCUCUUUAGUGCCAAGGCACCCCUGUCAUCACCCCUUUAAUCCACUGAUUCCCUGCUUGGUCAGGCCAGCUGCUCGACACCACCUUACACUUCCCUAUUUACUUCACUCAGAGCUUUUUCCCCUCUGCGCCAUGUCCUUACAGAAAUCCAACAAGCUCCCAUCUCUUAACACUUUAGCAUUGACAACUUCUCCGAUCAACUCUUGUAUCACAACCUUCACAGAUUCAUCACCCCAACUCUCCCUUCCUCCCUAAACUUCAGAAUCACGUUAUGCUCCUCCAUGCUGCCCUCGCAACCUCUCUCUACCCCGAAACUGCUGCUAGAGUUGGAAACUAUGUUCUAGCACCACCUUUUCCAAGACAAAAUAUUUCAUUCAUACAUAAGACAUAAUUUGGUCCAUAUUGUUUUCUAUUACAAAUUUAAAUUACCUUGGAGAAUACACAGUACUUACUUAUGCAUGUGGUGGUAUAAGAGACCAGGGCGCAUAUACACAAAGUGUUUCGGAAUAGGAAUGCUGAUUAAGGAUCUGUACAUAUAAUCAUAUGCAUUAUGAUCUAAAGGCCAAAACUGAUCUGAGAUCAGCACACCUACUCAAACAAUUUGGGGCUAUAAUAAUAAUUGUAGGAUAUCCAUGCCUCUACUUGACAAAUAGAUGGCUCUGCAGUUUGGCCUGUGGAAAAUGCCAUCUUUACAGCAAUUAACUACACACAGCCAACUCCAACAAUCAAUAUUAUGGUGUAUAAAUGAAUGAAUUUCCAAAUACAAUGAAAGGUAACUCACUUUAAUCAAAUACACAUGAUUACAACAGCAUUCCUGUGUAAUCUAGUAUAAUUCAGCAUAUGGAACAAAUGUAUUCACAAAGGGUGUGUUCGUAAAGUCACUCUGGAGUGCCGGAGUGCACUCUGUGCAUUUGUAAAUUCAGAACUUUGAUUGUAUGUUCAUGAAUUCAGAGCAUACACUGGAAGCUCUGGCUGAGGAGUAGGAUUGAUUUGAGUGUUCUGACCUCACACAGCAGUCAAGCACCCAAGCUAACGUUGGCUAGCUACUUCCAGACAAAUGAGAGAACACCUCACUGAUCAUUUUACUCUCCCUAGCAGAGCUGGUUAGGCUGUUUUCAUGUUAUCCAGAGCAUUGGUGAGUAACUGUGCUGCUGGCAACAAACUACCAUAUUCAACAGGUGCUGAGCAUGAUCAAAUGCAUCAGUUAUUCUGCGCUCUGGCACACAGAUGAGUGCUCUUAAAUCUGAGGAGAUAGCCAGAGUGAAUUUAAGAACUGACCCAAAUGACAUAUUAACGAACAAAUGACAGCAUGUGUCACAAUGGGCAUAAAAGGAAUUUCUAAAGCAUAUUCUAAAAUAAAAGUGAUCCAGUAGUCCUCUUUAUUUGGUCCAGCUGACUUUAGGAAUAUCGUAAUGUUCUGUCAGGCUGUCCAGGUGACGGUUGAAA